rnacentral:rRNA from 1 species
UACGUAGGGUGCGAGCGUUGUCCGGAAUUAUUGGGCGUAAAGAGCUCGUAGGUGGUUUGUCGCGUUGUCCGUGAAAACUCACAACUCAAUUGUGGGCGUGCGGGCGAUACGGGCAGACUGGAGUACUGCAGGGGAGACUGGAAUUCCUGGUGUAGCGGUGGAAUGCGCAGAUAUCAGGAGGAACACCGGUGGCGAAGGCGGGUCUCUGGGCAGUAACUGACGCUGAGGAGCGAAGGCGUGGGGAGCGAACAGG